CCUACGGGAGACAGCAGUGGGGAAUAUUGCACAAUGGGGGGAACCCUGAUGCAGCGACGCCGCGUGAGUGAAGAAGUAUUUCGGUAUGUAAAGCUCUGUCAGCAGGGAAGAAGAAAGACGGUACCUGACCAAGAAGCCCCGGCUAACUACGUGCCAGCAGCCGCGGUAAUACGUAGGGGGCAGGCGUUAUCCGGAUUUACUGGGUGUAUAGGGAGCGUAGACGGCAGGGCAAGUCUGGAGUGAACGGCCGGGGCCCAACCCCUGGACUGCUCUGGAAACUGUCCGGCUGGAGUGCAGGAGAGGUAAGUGGAAUUCCUGGUGUAGCGGUGAAAUGCGUAGAUAUUAGGAGGAACUCCAGUGGCGAAGGCGGCUUACUGGACUGUAACUGACGUUGAGGCUCGAAAGCGUGGGGAGCAAACAGGAUUAGAUACCCCAGUAGUC
rnacentral:rRNA from 1 species